rnacentral:rRNA from 1 species
ACGGAAGGCAGCAGUGAGGAAUAUUGGUCAAUGGGCGGAAGCCUGAACCAGCCAUGUCGCGUGCAGGACUACGGCCCUACGGGUCUUAAACUGCUUUUGCAAGGGGAUAAAGUGGGGCACGCGUGCCCCUUUGCAGGUACCUUGCGAAUAAGGAUCGGCUAACUCCGUGCCAGCAGCCGCGGUAAUACGGAGGAUCCGAGCGUUAUCCGGAUUUAUUGGGUUUAAAGGGUGCGUAGGCGGGCUGUUAAGUCAGCGGUGAAACCCCCGGGCUCAACCCGGGGACUGCCAUUGAAACUGGCGGCCUUGAGUACGUUGGGAGUGCGCGGAAUGUGUGGUGUAGCGGUGAAAUGCAUAGAUAUCACACAGAACACCGAUUGCGAAGGCAGGAUACCAUACCAUAUCUGACGCUCAGGCACGAAAGCGUGGGGAUCGAACAGGAUUAGAUACCCUGGUA